rnacentral:lncRNA from 1 species
AAACUACCUUCCUAGAGGUGUUGUGGAGACCAAAGGAAAUUUGCUUUAGAAAGUCCCAAGGUUCUUGCAGAUGAAUCACCUCCAUCACAGCAUAAUGCUGGGUACAGACAUCACCUGGUUACUGCUUAUCCAUGCUGAAGAACUAAAGGAAGCUUUUUAGCAAAGCUACAUUCUACUCUAGAAUAUGUCUGUGCUUGUUUUCCUUCAAGAUCUCCCAGCAAGAACCAGGGAUCGAACUCAGGAUCUUGUGCUUGGCGCCACUGAGCUACAUCCCCAGGCCGGCUCUCCCACUUCUUAAAGUCUACUUCUG